CACGUAGGGUCCGAGCGUUGUCCGGAAUUACUGGGCGUAAAGCGUGCGCAGGCGGUUGGGUAAGUCGCUGGUGAAAGCCCCACGCUCAACGUGGGAAUGGCCAACGAGACGGCCCGACUGGAGGCAGGGAGAGGCCGGUGGAAUUCCGGGUGUAGUGGUGAAAUGCGUAGAGAUCCGGAGGAACACCAGAGGCGAAGGCGGCCGGCUGGACCUGACCUGACGCUGAGGCACGAAGGCGUGGGGAGCGAACGGG
rnacentral:rRNA from 1 species